UACGUAGGGACCAAGCGUUGUUCGGAUUUACUGGGCGUAAAGGGCGCGUAGGCGGCGCGGUAAGUCACUUGUGAAAUCUCUGAGCUUAACUCAGAACGGCCAAGUGAUACUGCAGUGCUAGAGUGUGGAAGGGGCAAUCGGAAUUCUUGGUGUAGCGGUGAAAUGCGUAGAUAUCAAGAGGAACACCGGUGGCGAAGGCGGUUCUCUGGGCCUUACCUGACGCUGAGGAGCGAAAGCGUGGGGAGCGAACAGG
rnacentral:rRNA from 1 species